GUGGUUGACUAGUUGUUGUAACGUUCUCUUGGUGGUUGUGACGGCACAGACGACUAACAUGAGGAAGCCGGUAAUGAUGAACUCCAUCACGAAUGCUUGAAGAUCAGACCCAGAAGGAGAUGACCCGAGGAAGACAUCAUGUUUCUUGCUGCACACAUCAUUGUUCAGAUCAAACAGAAGACGCAGAGUCGCAGAUGCCAAGGUUGAUCCGAUGACUUGAACAGUUAUGUAGGCCGGGACUUGAUUCAGAGGGAAUCUUUGGGAAGAUGCUAAGGCAAGAGUGACAGCAGGAUUGAAAUGUGCAGAGAGGUGGCCGAGACAGUAAACAAGAACCAUUAUCACUAUACCCCAAACCACAGCAAUCCCCACAAGAGUCACUACAUGGUUGUGUUGAGCAUUCACGGCAAUGGCGGCACAGCCAGCAAAUAUCAGAUAGUAAGUUCCAACGAGCUCCGCUAAGAGCUGCAGAUCAAAAGUGCUCAUCGUAAGUAUCAGUUAACACAAAAACUUGAAAAGCCUAUGGGUUAAAAAGAAGCUUUGAAGAGUGAAUAAAGCAGUGCUUCCUCAAUUUGGACUGAGAUAAACUUACCUUUUGCAAGAAAUGGACAGAGAGCAAAGGCGGGGACGAUGACUCGUGUUUGUUGGAAGGAAGAGAAGUGUCUGCAAGAGAAGACGCUUUGAUGUUGAGCACAACAACAUUUCCGUGGUUGCUUUUGCUCACUGAUAUGUCAUCCAUUUUUCUUUUUGUCCGAGAAAUAGAAAGAAAAAAAAGUUCUGUAUAAGCUUUGAUUGAUGUUUGAAGUUAUGUGUUUGAGAGAUUUUUUUUUUUUUUUUCCUUCUUGUGUGUUUGAGAGAUUGUAA